rnacentral:rRNA from 1 species
GACGAACGCUGGCGGCGCGCUUAACACAUGCAAGUCGAGCGAAGCGGCGGACGGGUGAGUAACACGUGAGUAACCUGCUUUAGACAUUGGGAUAGCACCGGGAAACCGGGAUUAAUACCAAAUGGUCUAAGAGGGACUCGCGUCCCAUUAGAUAGUUGGCGAGGUAACGGCCCACCAAGGCGAAGACGGGUAGCCGGCAUGGGAGGGUGAACGGCCACAUUUGAACUGAGAAACGGUCCAAACUCGACGGAAGGCAGCAGUGGGGAAUAUUGCACAAUGGAGGGAACUCUGAUGCAGCGACGCCGCGUGAGCGAUGAAGGCUUUCGAGUCGUAAAGUUCUUUUAUAUGGGAAGUGUUACCAUAAGAAAAAGCCCCGGCUAACUACGUGCCAGCAGCCGCGGUAAUUC